rnacentral:lncRNA from 1 species
GGAGGAAUUCCCAAGGAUGUCAAGACGGUGGGGAGCCGCAUGACGUCACAGAUGCCUCGUUGAGACGCACCCUGAGCAUCAGCCUGGAUUGGCUGGGCGGCAGCACGGGCAGGAUAGACGCCAGGUCGUCAGGACCCGAAGCUGCAUGGAGUCUGUGGGGAGGGAAGCUCUCCGCUCUCGCUCUUCUGCUACCUCUUCUUUCCCGACCCCCUCAGAGUCCACCUGCUGAAGAGGCCGCCCGCCCGACCCGCCCUCCUCUGGGUCUCAGCACAGACUCAAGUCCUCACCUUCCCGCCCGCAUCCUCCUUCCUCACCCUGGGGGCAGGUCAAGAAGGAGAGAUCAACAAGAUGAGCCCUUGGGAUUUGGGAAGGAAAUGCCAAAAUCCACGUGGUCAGGGGGAAGUGAAACGGAAAACAGGAAGCACUUCACAAGGCCAAGCAAGCAAUAUCGUGAGCUCAGGGACCCUAAAAACUGUUAUAGAGAUCCCAGAAAGCCUAGGGAACUCGGGCUGACAAGGGGAAUGGAACUGUAGGUGCAAAGGAGAGCACUGUGCAGAGAAUCCUGGGCAGAACAGCAGAGCAGAAAGAGAAAACCCCGGAAUGGGCAGUUACCACACCUUUCUAGGAAUUUUUACAGUGUUGAGAAAGAGCAGAGCUUUCCCUUCCCAGAUGGAACAGCGCUCACAUGGGCAGAGGCUGGAUGGACAACUGAGAGAGCUGCAUCAGAGCAAGGGCGCACUGCACGCAGCACAAGUCAGAGAGGAAAAUGUAGAUCAAUCUUUGGAACAAAGCUCAGCGCCCUAGGGAGCCCCAUCAUCAGAGGUUCUGGAUCUGCAAGAGGAUGAGAGAAAGGCAUCCUCACCCCUGACAGCCAUGUUUGGUGCAUUUUCUUCUCCACUACAGCAGAAGAAUAAGCAUGCUUCUCCUCUGAGCAGAUCCAGUUACCCUGAACAUUCAUGUCCCUUUGCUUGGCGUCUUCCAAAAACGGCAAAAGUGGAAGGGGCUCGUGCAGUUUUUCUCCCAACAUUUAAUUAAGAAAAUUUCAAAACACAAGGGAAAUAUGAAAUAAUUUUUUAUUUAACCCCAUAUUCCCACAGUGUUGAUUC